CGAUCGAAAAAGUCCAUCGAGUGUGUCACGUUGGAGACACAAGAAAUCACGAAACCGAUAGAUCGCCGGUGAUCUCCUCGCGUCGCGGUUCGAACGUUUCACGAAUAAGGUGAAGAAAUUGAACUUUAUAUAUGAUAACAGAAUUUAUUGUGCAAAUCCAAUAGAGUGACGGUUCAAACUGUUACAACAGAAUGAUUCAAAGCGUUACAAGAGACUGGAUCAAAAUGUUUUAACCGACUGGGGCGAGCGCUUAUU